AUGUUAGACAAAAGGCUAUUUCCGUGUGAUCGGAAGACAUCUCCCAGUUUUCCGGAGCAAAUCCGACUGAUUGAGCACACUUAUUAUAUCUUCAGUCAUUCCAAAGAAAAGUUACACUGGGUGAAGGCUGGUUUUUCCAUCCCAGUAACAAGACCUCCAUCGUGUGCGUGUGUACGUGAGUGUUUCCGAACACGUUCCGUUCCAAGAGACCUGGAAAAGGAAGUGGAAGCGAACCCAAUAUUUUGGGACUGCCUGUCUACACUGGAUCACUUUACACUUGCUUUCCAUGUCACCAGAAGGUUGGAAGGCAACGGGUACAGACCCUUCUAAUGGUCUCGUCUAAUCAAUUCUAGCAGAUCUGAAACCUGUCAAGACAAGAUCCUGUCUGUCUUAAAUCUAACGAUGUAUAUUUUGAACUCGAGGAAGCCCCGAAGAGAUCCUUUUAUGGUGAACUUUUUCUUUCCAGCUUGUAGAGGAAGCCGUCUUGCAGGAUUUUUUUUCCUCCCCUCGGUAUAAAUUUUUUAAAUUUAAUUUUAAAUAAAUCAC
rnacentral:lncRNA from 1 species